GGAGAGAUGGCUGAGU
rnacentral:tRNA from 9 species